UGCACCUUUGGCAACGGAGGACACCUCCCUUUUCGCACAAAAGCCCCCGCUUUUCUCGCAAAUCCGCCUCCACUCCCUCAGGAAAGCCCCACCUUUGCAUGGGCAAGCUCCUCCCGACCGCCGCCGCCGUCGCCGCCGCCGCCGCCCGCAGCGUCCGCUCGCCCUCCGCCGCCGGGAAGGCAGCGAAGACUCCGCCCGCCCCGCUGGAUACUCCCAGAAACUCCGCCGCCGCCGGGGCGGCCAGCUCCGGGCGGGCCGAGGUGCGGGAUUUGGCGGCGGCGUGCGGGUUACAAGAGGACGAGCGGGUGCCGCUUGCCGAGGUGGUGUCCGACUGCACCAGGCGGUGGUUCCAGGACGCGCUCAAGGAGGCGCGCGCCGGCGACGUCGCCAUGCAGGUGCUCGUCGGUCAGAUGUACCGCAGCGGAUACGGCGUCAACAAGAACGAGCACAAGGCAAGAGUUUGGAUGGAGAAAGCAUCAAGAUACCGAUCUACAGUCUGGAAAGUUAGCAAUAAACGCCCAGGGUACAAUGCUAGUGACUCGGACUCAGAUCCAGAUGAUGCUAAGGAAACAUACAAAUAACGAAAACUUCAGAGUUAAUGACAUUAAUGGCUGGAACUUUUCCAUUCUCAUUCUCUUUAGCUUCUGUUCUAGCACAGAAAGUAGCUGCACCUGCACCUGCACUGCUGCAGUGACUACAAAACCACCGAAGCAACACAAACCACUUGAAGCUUCAGAUGUCCAGUUCUGUCAAGGAAUCCGUUCGUGUCCUGUUACGGAUAUUGAUGUUCUGUUUCCAGUUUUUUUUUUUGGGUCCCUGUGAGUUACAUACGCUGGAUUAUUGUUCUGUUUUCAAGGGGUUUCUCCUUUUUCUUUUCUUUUGUGUUAAAUCUAUUUCUUAUCAGAAAUGUAAAAUUGUCAGUAUGGAUUUUUCACUGAAGAUACAAGGAAUCAGCAGGAUAUUCCACUA